GGAAAAUGUUUCAAUAAGAAGAAAGUUAAGGUAGGUGUUGUUAACAUCGAUGCUAGAGAUGAAGAAUUGUUGUCACUUGAGGGUGAAAUGGAGAGUGUGUUUGUAGAUUUUGAUCAUGUUGAUGGGAAUUUGAAAUGGGAGGAGAUAUUUCCAGAAUGGAUUGAUGAAAAUGGGAAGUGGGGUGAAGCCAAAUGCCCAAACAUUCCAAUGCCAAAGUUGGAGAAUUUUGAAGAUCUGAAUGGUGUGGUGGCAAAGGUUCCAUGUGGGGUUAGAGAUGUGUUUAGGUUGCAGGUGAAUUUGGUGGUGGCAAAUUUGGUUGUGAGAAGUGGAUGGGUGAACAAGAUGGAGAAUCAUCAUAGGAAUGUGUAUGUUGUGUUUGUUGGUUCUUGUGGUCCCAUGGAAGAGAUUUUCAGUUGUGACAACCUUUUGUCGCAUCAACAACAAUAUUGGGUGUACAAACCUGACCUAUGGAGCCUAAAACAGAAAACACUUAUGCCUGUUGGUUCAUGUCAAAUUGCUCCUGGUUAUGCAAAAACAGGUAAAGAGGUGUGGAGAAAUUUCUUUAGUGUUCCAAAAGUAGCCUACGUAUCUGUUCUUCACUCUUCAGAAGCUUAUGUUUGUGGUGCAAUAGCACUUGCUCAAAGCAUUCUUCGAUCAAAUACCAAUUUUCCAAAUGAUCUUCUACUCCUGGUUGAUAAAUCCAUUGGUCCAAAAUCCAUAACUGGUCUAAAAGCUGCAGGGUGGAAGAUCCAACGCAUCAAACGCAUCUUGAGCCCCUUUGCCAAAACGGGUGCAUACAACAAGUGGAACUACAGCAAACUACGAAUAUGGCAACUCACCAAGUACGACAAAAUCAUCUUCAUAGACUCCGACCUCGUACUCCUCAACAACCUCGACCAUUUAUUCGUGUACCCUCAGUUGUCAGCAGCACCUAACGAGAAAGUCUUGUUCAACUCGGGCUUGAUGGUGGUCGAGCCAUCCCAGUGCAUGUUCCAACAGAUGAUGAACAAAACCUUCAAGGUACGUUCCUACAAC
rnacentral:sRNA from 1 species